GCGGGAAUAGCUCAGUUGGUAGAGCAAGACCUUGCCAAGGUCGGGGUCGCGAGUUCGAGUCUCGUUUCCCGCUCCA
rnacentral:tRNA from 2 species